rnacentral:rRNA from 1 species
UACGGAGGGUGCAAGCGUUAUCCGGAUUUACUGGGUUUAAAGGGUGCGCAGGCGGCUAUGUAAGUCAGUGGUGAAAUCUCCGGGCUUAACCCGGAAACUGCCGUUGAUACUAUAUAUCUUGAAUGCUGUGGAGGUAAGCAGAAUAUGUCAUGUAGCGGUGAAAUGCUUAGAUAUGACAUAGAAUACCUAUUGCGAAGGCAGCUUACUACACAGAUAUUGACGCUCAUGCACGAAAGCGUGGGGAUCAAACAGG